UACAGAGGGUGCGAGCGUUAAUCGGAAUUACUGGGCGUAAAGGGUGCGUAGGUGGUUGCAUAAGUUAGGUGUGAAAGUCCCGGGCUUAACCUGGGGAUUGCGCCUGAUACUGUGUAGCUAGAGUACUGUAGAGGAAGGUGGAAUUUCCAGUGUAGCGGUGAAAUGCGUAGAUAUUGGUAGGAACAUCGGUGGCGAAGGCGACCUUCUGGACAGAUACUGACACUGAGGCACGAAAGCAUGGGGAGCAAACAGG
rnacentral:rRNA from 1 species